rnacentral:rRNA from 1 species
UACAGAGGUGCCGAGCGUUAGGCGGAAUCACUGGGCCUAAAGCGUGUGUAGGCGGACUUCUAAGUACCUUGUGAAAUCCCACGGCUCACCCGUGGAACUGCUGGGUAUACUGGUCGUCUUGAGCCACCUAGGGGCCAGCGGAACAAAUGGUGGAGCGGUGAAAUGCGUAGAUAUCAUUUGGAACGCCAACGGUGAAAACAGCUGGCUGGGGGUGUGCUGACGCUGAGACACGAAAGCCAGGGGAGCGAACGGG